AACGCGAAGAACCUUACCUGGGCUUGAACUGUAGGAGAAGGUAGCAGAAACGUUACCGUCGUAAGACUGCUACAGAGGUGCUGCAUGGCUGUCGUCAGCUCGUGCCGUGAGGUGUUUGGUUAAGUCCAGCAACGAGCGCAACCCUUAUCAUUAGUUGCCAGCGGGUAAUGCCGGGAACUCUAAUGAGACUGCCUAUGUCAAAUAGGAGGAAGGUGAGGAUGACGUCAAGUCCGCAUGGCCUUUAUGUCCAGGGCUACACACGUGCUACAAUGGCCAGUACAGAAGGUUGCCAACCCGCGAGGGGGAGCUAAUCCUAUAAAGCUGGUCUCAGUUCGGAUUGCAGCCUGCAACUCGGCUGCAUGAAGUUGGAAUUGCUAGUAAUGGCGUGUCAGCUACAACGCCGUGAAUACGUUCCCGGGCCUUGUACACACCGGCUAC
rnacentral:rRNA from 1 species